UACGGGGGGUGCGAGCGUUGUCCGGAAUCACUGGGCGUAAAGGGCGCGUAGGUGGUUUUAUAAGGGUGUGGUGAAAGCCCGGGGCUCAACCCCGGGUCGGCCGUGCCGACUGUAAGACUAGAGUGCUGUAGGGGCAGGCGGAAUUCCGGGUGUAGCGGUGGAAUGCGUAGAGAUCCGGAGGAAGACCGGUGGCGAAGGCGGCCUGCUGGGCAGUUACUGACACUGAGUGCGCGACAGCGUGGGGAGCAAACAGG
rnacentral:rRNA from 2 species